UGCACUGACAGGGAAACAUUAAACAUUUAAACCAGCUGCAACCUGCAGGAGAGCACAACGCUUAAAGUAAAAGAGUUCAACAAUGUCUCUACUAGUCACGCUGCUUUUGCUGUCGCUGGUUUCUCAGUGUUGGACUGCUCCACAGAGGAGAAACUGGACUUCUCAGGCGAUCCUAUACCUGAAAGGAGCACAGGGACGCCGCUCAUUUUUGGAGCGUGCCAGAAGAGAGGAAGAAAGCACUUUUCACUCAGG